rnacentral:rRNA from 1 species
UACGUAGGGUGCGAGCGUUAAUCGGAAUUACUGGGCGUAAAGUGUGCGCAGGCGGCCGCGCAAGUCGAGUGUGAAAGCCCCGAGCUUAACUUGGGAAUUGCGCUCGAAACUACGUGGCUGGAGUGUGGCAGAGGAAGGUGGGAUUCCACGUGUAGCGGUGAAAUGCGUAGAGAUGUGGAGGAACACCAAUGGCGAAGGCAGCCUUCUGGGCCAACACUGACGCUCAUGCACGAAAGCGUGGGGAGCAAACAGG